rnacentral:tRNA from 1 species
AAGGGAGACCUAAUUCAGGUAGGAGACGAAAUAAAAGUAGUCCCUACCAGGAAUCAAUCCCAAAAGGUCGGAGCGAGGCGAAAUUGGCUUUCAAACUAGGUUCUGGGUUCAAACAAGACCUGAAUCAGGAACAAGGGCUAUUAGCUCAGGUGGUUAGAGCGCACCCCUGAUAAGGGUGAGGUCCCUGGUUCGAGUCCAGGAUGGCCCACCUGCACAGGUGGCAAAAACAAGAGAAGCGAGGAAUCAGAACCUUAUCUUACUGACAUAGUAAGAGAGAAUGCUGGCUCUGAGUAAAGAGUCCAGAGGAACCUUGAAAACUGCAUAGGGCUAGGUGAAAAAGCCAAAAAAGAAGACCGCAA